GUACCGACUUUGGUUCACUUAGUGAAUAAUAAGGAAUCUGGUGUGAAUCCAGAACUGUAACUGCAGCUGUAAGUACUUAAAGUCCGCUUCAAUAUUGCCACUGUCCCGAAAAUAAGGAUGGGAAGGCGAAACGGAUAAGGUAUAAGUCAGAAUACUUGCCCAAGUCAUU
rnacentral:ncRNA from 1 species